rfam:Myotis davidii contig95980, whole genome shotgun sequence.
GUGUUGGCUUUGGCAGCACAUAUACUAAAUUGGAACGAUACAGAGAAUAGAGAUUUGCAUGACCCCUGCAUAAGGUUGUCCAGCAAAUCCUAUGACACUUUCCAUUAAAAA